rnacentral:sRNA from 1 species
GCCGGGCAUGGUGGUGCACACCUGUAAUUCCAGCUGCUCAGGAGGCAGAGGCAGGGGGAUCUUUUGCUUAAUUUUUAAAAGCACUAGCUGAAGUUGGAUGUGGUGGUGCACGCCUGUAAUCCCAGUGGCUCCAGAGGCCGAGGCAGGAGAAUCGCAACUUCACUUUAUCGAGGCACUAAGCAAUUGAGUGAGAUCCUGUCUCUA